CCUUGAAGCGAUGCUCUCUGGCUGUUAAUGAGAAAAAAAGCGAGCGCUUUGCUGAAGAGGCUCUCUGAAGAGGGAACACGAAGGAUGGAGUUCUCCCUGUGGUUGUGAUGCCAUAGCCCAGCCACAUCCCUCUUCUGAGCUGAGUGCAGAUGCUUUUUCAGUGGGACAACCAUUGCCUAAAGCUGUUCUGAGCACAUGAACCUGUGGAAUGGCUGAAAACCAUGUUCCUGAGGCAGGUGGAAGGAAAGUGUCAGCAGUGAUUUCAUUGGGAGAAGCAGCUUGUUAGGCACAGACAUGAGCUGUAAGUGGAAAUUUCAGGAGAGAAAUUUUGUGCUAUAGAUGAUUCUAAAGUCCAUUGGUUAAAUACUGUUUAUGUACAACAGCAAAUGACAUUGUCAUCAGCCUCCUCUGGUUUUAAGGAGAGUUGUGGGGAAGAAUUUCAAGAAAAAGGAGUUUUUUGUAGACAUUGUCAACAGUGCUCUGAAUGUGCUUUGUGCUGGCUGAUGUGGAGCUGCAGUUUGUCUCAGCUGCAGGGGAUGUGCUCACCUUUAAUGCCCAUUUUCAGUCCUCAUUACAUCCUGAGAGGAUGGCUCCAUCAAUGCCCUGGGUUAUGCCCUGGCUGGUACCCUACAGAUGAUGCCUGCUCUUACAGGACACGAACCAGCUCAAGGAAGCUCCAAGUUCAGCUGCUCUCAUUUCAGUCCAGAAGAUCCCAGACUUUGGGUUUUUAAUAGAAGAAACAGAAAUAGACUUCAGUUCAUCAGUACAGGAGAAAAAUACAUCUCUGAGAAUAACAGCCUGGAAAAUGCAUUGGAGCUGUGCUGAUGGACCAGAGCAGCCAGGCCACUGGCAAUCAAAGAAAGCAGCAGCAGGUGAUCAGAAUAUUCCCAGGUAAUUGACUACACUGCAGGCAUCGUAAUGAGUUCCCCAGCAGAAACAAGAUGAGCUGCUAAGCAGACACACCACUGAAAAUGCAAAGCUGGUUCUGAAGUCAAGUAGAUAUUGUCAUAUUUCACGGAACUAUGUGGAAGAACGGCUGCAACGCCUAGGCCCCAGAGAAAAGGGCAUGAAUUCUGAGGAAGAGAAGGAGAGAGCAUCAGGAAGAUAUUUUGUCCAGAAGAUAGCACUUGGUGAAAUACAGUGUUCACAAACUUCAU